rnacentral:rRNA from 1 species
AGACCCGAAACCCGGUGAUCUAGCCAUGGGCAGGUUGAAGGUUGGGUAACACUAACUGGAGGACCGAACCGACUAAUGUUGAAAAAUUAGCGGAUGACCUGUGGCUGGGGGUGAAAGGCCAAUCAAACCGGGAGAUAGCUGGUUCUCCCCGAAAGCUAUUUAGGUAGCGCCUCGUGAAUUCAUCUCCGGGGGUAGAGCACUGUUUCGGCUAGGGGGCCAUCCCGGCUUACCAACCCGAUGCAAACUGCGAAUACCGGAGAAUGUUAUCACGGGAGACACACGGCGGGUGCUAACGUCCGUCGUGAAGAGGGAAACAACCCAGACCGCCAGCUAAGGUCCCAAAGUCAUGGUUAAGUGGGAAACGAUGUGGGAAGGCCCAGACAGCCAGGAUGUUGGCUUAGAAGCAGCCAUCAUUUAAAGAAAGCGUAAUAGCUCACUGGUCGAGUCGGCCUGCGCGGAAGAUGUAACGGGGCUAAACCAUGCACCGAAGCUGCGGCAGCGACGCUGAUGCGUUGUUGGGUAGGGGAGCGUUCUGUAAGCCUGCGAAGGUGGCCUGUGAGGGUUGCUGGAGGUAUCAGAAGUGCGAAUGCUGACAUAAGUAACGAUAAAGCGGGUGAAAAGCCCGCUCGCCGGAAGACCAAGGGUUCCUGUCCAACGUUAAUCGGGGCAGGGUGAGUCGACCCCUAAGGCGAGGCCGAAAGGCGUAGUCGAUGGGAAACGGGUUAAUAUUCCCGUACUUGGUGUUACUGCGAAGGGGGGACGGAGAAGGCUAUGUUGGCCGGGCGACGGUUGUCCCGGUUUAAGCGUGUAGGUGUGUGUUCCAGGUAAAUCCGGUUCACUUUAACACUGAGGCGUGAUGACGAGGCACUACGGUGCUGAAGCAACAAAUGCCCUGCUUCCAGGAAAAGCCUCUAAGCAUCAGGUAACAUCAAAUCGUACCCCAAACCGACACAGGUGGUCAGGUAGAGAAUACCAAGGCGCUUGAGAGAACUCGGGUGAAGGAACUAGGCAAAAUGGUGC